CACGGUCUCCACUUUUACAAGGCACCGACUCCUAGGUGCUAGUACUAAUCAUGGCGGAAGCUCCUUGAGAUGCCGUGUUUAAUACUAGCCCCUCGGGGAUCAAUUCAAAGUAUGUUCUUGCAUUUCAUAGUUUAUAAAGUAUUAACCACUUGCUUUCCCCAAUUACGAGUGUGCCAAAACAACCACUGACCAAAUAUGAUCACAUCCGUGUCCUGAAUGCUGCCAGAAUCAAAUUCUUGUGUCUGUCAGACAGAAGAAGAGUCUUGAGCACUCUCCCGGUUUUGGAUCCUACAACCCCCCGGCCCCCCUUUUCUUGUUUCCCGGCCCAGUGCCCGGUAGUGCUGUUAACAGUUCGGCCGAAGUGUUUGUAUACAAAAGUUUACUGCCUCCAUAUUCAUAUUACCUGAUCAAAAAUUAUUUAUAGGGCUGGUCACUUUGGUAUUUUUUGAAGUGAAAGACGAGUUUUACAGCCGUGACCUGUUUAGUCGUCGGCAUUGUUCUCUGUUCAUCAGCAUCGUAAGCGGUAACAUCGAUUGGUCUUGUCCAUCACCCAGCCUUAUAUCCUCUUGUAGGUGGUGAUCCAUAUAAUGAAUCAUCCAAAGAAGCCACAACAAGUGCUGAUCUUCACCUUGUAGAACAAAAGAAUCUUGUUGUGAUGCAGAUUAGAUUGCCUCUUAUCAAGAAAGAAAAAAAAAAUUCAAAACAGAAAUCAUGACAUGGUGCAAAGAAGUUGGUAUCAGAUGUAUUGUAAUGUUAGCUUCUUGCAGUGCAUAUGAAUGGAGGAAUUACAAUCAGUUAACUGGAUCCCAGCUUUGGUAUUUGACUACUACACCAGCGGAUAGUGAAGUAUUAAGAAAUAUAUGACCACUGAGAUGACUGACAAUGCCAGGACAACCAGCGACAAUACCACAGUCCCAUCUGUCCAAUUACCCUCAUUCAUGACCAUAACCCAGAAGCCUGGUUCUUUAGAAUGGAGACCAACUUCAGAUCCAAGGUCACAUCAUCACCACGCAAAGCUGAUGCCAUCCUCAAGUUCCUGCUGGACAGCAUCUACAUCCGCACAAAUCUCAGAGUGGCUAGCUGAGCCACUGCACUAAUCUCAGAGUGGCUACCUGAGCCACAAACCCCCAUCAUGUACAAUACAUUGAAGGUACAACUGAGGUCUUCCUUCAGCAUGUCCCCUGCCCUCAAAGCCCGAAAAUUCCUAGACAAAGUAGGACCAGCAAUAGGAGACCAAUGGCCGUCACACGUCUGCAAACAAGUACUGCUGUUAAUAAUGAUCCCCACCAUAGAUGGUCAACCAGAAAUGAUGCCAAACCUUGAGAGAGGUGUCCUCCUCAUGUGGUUGCCAUGCCAAACAGUCACUGUGAUACCCAUACACCUCGACAAAUUCCUGAGAAUGAUAAAUGCAGUUCAUAUGGCCCAGAGAUUGUCAGAACCCACUCAACCACCUGUAGCACCAGCCACACCACAACCACUUCAUCAGAGCAACACAGAAUCGAACAGCAAACCAGAGGGCCCUGCCACUCCCAUAUACCACUUUCAAAACUACAGGAAGGAGAACAAACACAGGACCAAAAAGAAUAAUGUCUGAAAGGGCCAAUGUUCUUCAACUGGAGAUUCCGGAGCAAGCCCAAAUACUAUGAGAACGGCUGCCCUCUAUAAAAUAACAUGCAUUAGGGGCUGCAGCUUUUUGGGCGACAAUGGUUGCAUGCUAUAAAAAACAUGCAAUAGGGUCACAGUAGUGACUUGAGCAAUUAACUGUGAGCGAUGGGCAGACUGGUUGUCUUGUAAAAGAAAAUGGGUUUACCUUUCACUGCUUUUCUUCUAAAUGCAAGUGAAAACACUUCACGUGUUUAUAUGUCAAGAGAUGAUAUGUCCAACGCACAGUUCCUCAUUAGCAUGGCCGCAUGUAAGUUAUUCAUUCCAGCCAACCUGCAUAAACGCCUCAACCCCACCCCUAGGUGUCUACUGCCAGUGGUGCCACACUUAAAAUAUAUGGAAAAAACUGAAAUUAUAUUCAACUGCAAUCCAUACAGUUGGACAUUCAUCACAGCAGACAUCACAAUUGCACUACUAGGAGCAGAUUUCCUAAAAGCCCAUGAGAUGAUGGUAGACAGCAAGACACCAGCUGAUUCAGAGAAAUGUCCUUACAGCACCCAUCACUCCCAGAACAAUAGCAGCAAAGUAUUCAAAGAUGUCCUCAAGCACAACCUAGCAAGCUCCGCAAAAUACCACAUCGUCACUGAGGGGGCACCCUCAAAUCCAUGCAUGCUUCAGACUUUUGGCCCCAGACAUUUUAGCCUAUGCUAGAAUUCCAUGACAUGGAACAGGCAGGAAUCUGCCAGAAAGCCUCCAACCCAUGGGCAACAUUCUAAGGAAGAGGGCACUGUCCUCACUAAUCUUCCCAAGGUGGAGCAACCGAUUUUCUCUUAUAUCUCCUCUUCAUACCAAAUUCUUCCAUUGCUCUGGAGACCAAUUACAACACUUGGAACAGGGAUUACUUGAUUGAUACUGCUGAAUAUCACGAGAAGCUUGAUGCUAUUUUGUCCAAUGAGAGCAAGUACAAGCUCUUGACAAGAAACCCGACAAACAUCAAGAGGGAGGCCAACAGUCAUCAGUGCAGUGAACGCUGCGACAAACGCUGUCCACCUCCCGCACAUACAAGGAGACUACAGCCUGGGUUAUUUAUAUAGCAACAUAAAAACCCACAAACAAGGAAACUCCCUCCAGCCCUUAUGUCCCUGCAGUCAUCAGUAGAAUUCUUAGAGGCCAUCAAGGACACCCAUGGCACCGGGAUUAUCGCCUCACUGAACGUGGAGACCAUGUUCAUGAAUGUGCCUGUCGAUGAGACCAUCGAUAACUUCCUUGAGUGCGUCUACAGGAGUCAGCCGACAGCGCCCCUCAAUAUACCUAAAGCCUCACUCCAUAUGCUACUGGAGAUUUGUACCAAGAAGGCCCCUUUCUCCACCCACCAUGGCCAGAUGUUCCGCCAGAGGAUGGCGUGGUGAUGGGCUACUGGGUCAUCUUUGCUAACUUUUACAUAGGCACUGUAGAGGAACAAGUCUUCGCCAGAAUGCAGCAAAUCCGCAGAUAUGGCUGUUAUAUCGAUGAUAUCUUUGUUCAAGUAGACACUGAGGAUGAGGUUGAAGCCCUUUGUAAGGCAUUUCAGCAGUAUAGCAUACUAAAUUACAUAGUUGAAUACAGCACCAACGAUCAGCUCCACUUCCUCGACGUCCCUUGAGAGUAAGGUGGAAGACGGCCUCCAUACUUCUGUCUAUGCAAGAACAACUAAUCUUGGACUUUGUGCCUAAACGGUGACAGCGAGUGCCCCGCCAGAUUCAAAAGCACAACUAUUAGGGCCUUCAUCGAGAGAGCCCUCUCCCACUGCUCGACCCGGCAGGACACUCGUCAGGAACUUGACCAUGCCUCCCAAGUAUUCGUGAAUAACAGGUAUUCCAAUAAAUUAAUCGGUAGAGAAGUCCGCACGGCACUGGAGAAAUGGUAUGGUAGUGAGAGCCUGCAGCCCCGCCCCCAGGAUAAUAUCAAGCUGUAUUACGAAGCCCUCAUGAGUUCCCAUUACCGUUAAGAAGUGGACUCUGUUAAGAAGAUUAUUACUGAAAAUGUAACCCUGAUUGACAACACCAAGAAAAUUUACUUACCAGAAUCGGAAGAUGCUUGACCUAAUAAUGAAAAAUAACUCAAGUACAUAUGCCCAAUCUGCGGUUGCAGCGGCAACUACGUAGGUAUGACUAGCAUGCGCCUGUCUAAGACUCAUGCCAUGCCAAGAGGGGGCAACGCCCAGCAACGUCACCACACAGCUCAGGUGGUCUAGGAGGUUGCAGCUACACAGCUAUCAACACGGCGGAAGUGGCUUCAGGCCUGACUCAAGCAACCAAUGAAAAAGCAGACUUACUGCCACCAGCAAACGAGAUCAGCAUAGAGCAGAUCCCCGGCUGACGAACCCAAAUAUAAGGAGGAAGGACACCACACCAGCAGCAGUCCACCCUCUGCUUCCUAGAGAGAGGA